rnacentral:rRNA from 2 species
AGUUCUCGUUGAUGUAUCGGUGCUUGCACCGAGAUUCAACAUGGUAACGAGUGGCGGACGGGUGAGUAACACGUGGGUAACCUGCCCUUAAGUGGGGGAUAACAUUUGGAAACAGAUGCUAAUACCGCAUAGAUCCAAGAACCGCAUGGUUCUUGGCUGAAAGAUGGCGUAAGCUAUCGCUUUUGGAUGGACCCGCGGCGUAUUAGCUAGUUGGUGAGGUAAUGGCUCACCAAGGCGAUGAUACGUAGCCGAACUGAGAGGUUGAUCGGCCACAUUGGGACUGAGACACGGCCCAAACUCCUACGGGAGGCAGCAGUAGGGAAUCU